UACGAAGGGUGCAAGCGUUACUCGGAAUUACUGGGCGUAAAGCGUGCGUAGGCGGUUUGUUAAGUCUGCUGUGAAAGCCCUGGGCUCAACCUGGGAACUGCAGUGGAUACUGGCGAGCUAGAGUGUGUCAGAGGAUGGUGGAAUUCCCGGUGUAGCGGUGAAAUGCGUAGAGAUCGGGAGGAACACCAGUGGCGAAGGCGGCCAUCUGGGACAACACUGACGCUGAGGCACGAAAGCGUGGGGAGCAAACAGG
rnacentral:rRNA from 1 species